GGGGUAAAAUUAGUAUAAAUAAAAAUAAUAAAAAAAUUUUUGGGGGAAAAUUUUUUGUUAAAGUAUAUUUAUAGAAAAAAUAAGUGAGGAAUUAUAGUAAAUUAGUAUUGUAAAAGAAAUAAGAAUUAUAUGAAAAAAAAACAUGUAAAAAGUAAUAUUUAUUUUAUGUAUCUUGUGUAUCAGAGUUUAUAGAAUAAAUUUUUUUUAUAAAAAAAUUCUCGAAUUUAAAAGAGAUAAUUAAUUAAAAAAGUUAUUGUGUCAAAAAUAUUUUAAAUAAUUAAUUGGAAAUAAAAUGUUAAUCGUUUUUAAAUAUAUCUAGUUUUUUUAGAAAAAAAUUUAAUUUUGAAUUUGAAUAAUAUGUGUGCAUAUAUAUACAUAAAUAAAUAAUUUAAUUAAUAUAAAUUAUUUAUUAGUUAAAUUUAAUAAUUUAAGGGAUAAGCUUUAAAUUAAAUAUUUAUAAAUUUAUUUUAAGAAAGUUAAAAAUUUUAGAAUUUAAAUUGUUUAAAAAUUAUAAAUUAUUAUAAAAAAUUUUAUAAAAAAAAAAAUUAAAAAAAUUAAAUUUUAAUUUUAUAUAAAAAAAAAUAAUAAAAAUAAAAUUAAUUAAGUUAUAAUGAUAAAAUUAGUAUAUAAUAUAUAUAUAUAUAUAUAUAUAUAUAUAUAAGAAAUUAAUAUUAAUAAUAAAAUUAAAAUUAAUUAAAAGGAAUUCGACAAAAAUUAUAUUCACUUGUUUAUCAAAAACAUGUCUUUUGGAGAUAAUAUAAAGUCUAAUCUGCCCACUGAUUUUAAAUUAAAGGGCUGCAGUAUAUUGACUGUACAAAGGUAGCAUAAUCAUUAGUCUCUUAAUUGGUGACUUGUAUGAAAGAUUGGAUGAAAUAUAAAUUGUCUCUCAAUUAUAAAUAGAAUUUAAUUUUUUAAUUAAAAAGUUAAAAUAAUUUUAAAAGACGAGAAGACCCUAUAGAGUUUAAUAAUAAUUUAAUUAUUUUUUUUUGAUAAAAAAAAAUUAAUAAUUAAUAAGAUUAUUUUAUUGGGGUGAUAGAAAAAUUUAAUUAACUUUUUUUUAUAAAAUAAAUAAAAAAAAAUAACAUUUAUAAGUGAAAUAGUUGAUCCAAAAUUUUUGAUUAUAAGAAUAAAUUACCUUAGGGAUAACAGCGUAAUUUUUUUUUUUAGUUCUUAUAAAAAUAAAAGUUUGCGACCUCGAUGUUGGAUUAAGAUAAAAUUUAAAUGCAAAAGUUUAAAAUUUUGAUCUGUUCGAUCAUUAAAAUCUUACAUGAUCUGAGUUCAAACCGGUGUAAGCCAGGUUGGUUUCUAUCUUUAAAAAAAUAUAAUAUUUUAGUACGAAAGGAUCAAAUAUUUAGAAUAAUUUUAAUAGAAGAAUAAUAUUAAAUUAUAGUUAUAUUUGAA
rnacentral:rRNA from 1 species